AUCCAGCUGACAAGUCCCAUAUAGGACGAAACGCGCGUCCAGGAU
rnacentral:hammerhead_ribozyme from 1 species